CAAGUCGAACGAGCGAGAGAGAGCUUGCUUUCUCGAGCGAGUGGCGAACGGGUGAGUAACGCGUGAGGAACCUGCCUCAAAGAGGGGGACAACAGUUGGAAACGACUGCUAAUACCGCAUAAGCCCACGGUGCCGCAUGGCACAGAGGGAAAAGGAGUAAUCCGCUUUGAGAUGGCCUCGCGUCCGAUUAGCUAGUUGGUGAGGUAACGGCCCACCAAGGCGACGAUCGGUAGCCGGACUGAGAGGUUGAACGGCCACAUUGGGACUGAGACACGGCCCAGACUCCUACGGGAGGCAGCAGUGGGGAAUAUUGCACAAUGGGGGAAACCCUGAUGCAGCGACGCCGCGUGGAGGAAGAAGGUCUUCGGAUUGUAAACUCCUGUUGUUGGGGAAGAUAAUGACGGUACCCAACAAGGAAGUGACGGCUAACUACGUGCCAGCAGCCGCGGUAAAACGUAGGUCACAAGCGUUGUCCGGAAUUACUGGGUGUAAAGGGAGCGCAGGCGGGAAGACAAGUUGGAAGUGAAAUCUAUGGGCUCAACCCAUAAACUGCUUUCAAAACUGUUUUUCUUGAGUAGUGCAGAGGUAGGCGGAAUUCCCGGUGUAGCGGUGGAAUGCGUAGAUAUCGGGAGGAACACCAGUGGCGAAGGCGGCCUACUGGGCACCAACUGACGCUGAGGCUCGAAAGUGUGGGUAGCAAACAGGAUUAGAUACCCUGGUAGUCCACACCGUAAACGAUGAUUACUAGGUGUUGGAGGAUUGACCCCUUCAGUGCCGCAGUUAACACAAUAAGUAAUCCACCUGGGGAGUACGACCGCAAGGUUGAAACUCAAAGGAAUUGACGGGGGCCCGCACAAGCAGUGGAGUAUGUGGUUUAAUUC
rnacentral:rRNA from 1 species